CUCGUAGGUGGCCAACUAAGUCGGACGUGAAAUCCCUCGGCUUAACCGGGGAACUGCGUCCGAUACUGGAUGGCUUGAGUUUGGGAGAGGGAUGCGGAAUUCCAGGUGUAGCGGUGAAAUGCGUAGAUAUCUGGAGGAACACCGGUGGCGAAGGCGGCAUCCUGGACCAACACUGACACUGAGGAGCGAAAGCCAGGGGAGCAAACG
rnacentral:rRNA from 1 species